rnacentral:rRNA from 1 species
CCCCUAGAUGUUCUGGGCCGCACGCGCGCUACACUGAACAGUUCAACAAGUCUUAACCUUGGCCGAUAGGUCUGGGUAAUCUUUGAACGCUGUUCGUGAUUGGGAUAGACCUUUGCAAUUAUGGGUCUUCAACGAGGAAUUCCUAGUAAACGCAAGUCAUCAGCUUGCAUUGAUUACGUCCCUGCCCUUUGUACACACCGCCCGUCGCACCUACCGAUUGAAUGGUCCGGUGAAAUCUCGGGACGGCGGCUCGGUCGCUUGCGUCCGACUGCUGAAACUUGAUUAAACCAUAUCAUUUAGAGGAAGGUGANGUCGUAACA